rnacentral:misc_RNA from 1 species
AACCUUAUGGACCUGCGGGCGUAUACCUGCGGAAGGAUCAUUAUCGAGUUAGGGUUCCCACCGUGGGCCCGACCUCCCAACCCUAUGUCUACAACACCUUUGUCGUUGCUUCGGCGGACCGGUUUUACCUCUAUCUGGUCGUGACCGCCGGAGGGAGGUGUCGUCCCCCUCUGGAGAGCGUCCGUCGACGGCCUAACCACACAAUUCUUGUCCUUAACUGUGUCGUCUGAACACCUUUUU